GCGGUGGCUCCAUUGCAGGCAUUGUUGUUGGGAUCGUAGCGUUAAUUACUGUGGGGGGCAGCUUAGCUCUUUGUAAAAAGUGCCAGCUAUUCUGUUUCCACCCAACGUCGAGUACAGGAAGAAAUAUGGAUUCCGAAACGCAAACAAAUAAUGACGGAGUAAACCACAGGUAUCACGGCACAGUUAACCAAUACAAUGGCCCUGCACAGCCACAGAACGAUGGUGCUCUCCAGUUAUACAGAUAUAAUAAUAUGGCCGUCAUGCCGCAUCAACUCCCAAACAUACCAAAAGGAGGUUACCUACAGGCACGACAUAUUCAUGAAGAGACAAAAAAUGGAACAGUGAGAGAAAUAAGGGAAAUGACAUAUUAUCAAGGCGAAUGAGUGAAGUAAAUUGACAUUCCUGAA